CUGAAUGUUGUCACUAAACCGUUUCUGACAUUGACAGGGAAACCUUUCCAGAGCUACAGUAUAGCAUUGUGAAAAGCAUUUGAUGCAUGAUUAAUGAUUAAUUUGUGACUCAUCUAUUUGUUUGACUUGCAGACAUGACAAAUCUGUUGUUGAACAUAUGAAUUAUUAGGGGUAUUUUUUUAUUAUUUGUUGUUCUGUUUUGCACAGGGAGGUUGGUCAGUCACAUUUUGAAGUAUAACAGCAUAUUACAUUUUAUAACAGUGUCAAGAUUUGUAGGCAUAUUUGCUCCAAGGAGCAGUUUUUGUCAUUUAAAGAACUAAACAACAACACUGGAGACCUAUACAUCUGUCCUUUCCCUU